rnacentral:misc_RNA from 1 species
UCAGGAUGGUUUGAAGUCAAAAAGGUGGUGUUACUUUGUCAUCGAUUCUUUUGGCUCCCAUCAUUAUAUGUCUCAUAAUUUAGUUUUUAAUAACUGGCUUAUGUUUAAAUGUUAAGACUGUUAAUAAAAAAAUUAAUUAAUUAAAAAAAAACUGAAUCCUGGGUCCUAUGUUUUAUGUUAGUUUUGUCCUCAAGAAGGAUGGAGUAGAUUCUUCUAUAUACUAAUUUCUUUGACAAACACUGAAGUUAGAUAAGGAUAAUAAAAUAUGUGCUUUUUUUUGUUAACUGUAUGAUUAUCUGUUUAUUUAGGAAAAUAAAUAUCAAAUUUCAAUUUUGAAAACUAGUUGUGAUCACAUUUCAAUGAGUUUUGUUUAAGGAGUUGUGAAGUACUGGUCAACAGUUGCUUAGUUCGCUCAUCACUGACUGCGGCAAGCGGGCCCUAGAGAUAGCUCCUCUGACAACUAAAUGUUUAAUGGAGUCUCUGUUUUCCUACUGGAGUGUGCUGCAUAUAUGUUUUUAGUGAUCCUGCAUCCAACAAGUACAUGACCUCAUUGUUUUGUUAAAUGAUAAGGGGUUUCUGCAACCUAUUUUUUAUUGUGAAUUUUGCUGUCAGUCUGUGCCUUCUCUAAUGAAGUCAUUUUUGAAGUGUUUGGUUUUUUGUGCAGUAACUUAUCAUCAUGUUUAUUUAUGAACCAUACAUAUCAUGACUUUGUGGCUUUUCUAAGACGGA